GAUGAAGAACGCAGCGAAAUGCGACAACUAAUGUGAAUUGCAGAAUUCAGUGAAUCAUCGAGUCUUUGAACGCACAUUGCGCCCCCUGGUAUUCCGGGGGGCAUGCCUGUCCGAGCGUCAUUGCUGCCCUCAAGCACGGCUUGUGUGUUGGGCCUCCGUCCUCCUCCCGGGGGACGGGCCCGAAAGGCAGCGGCGGCACCGCGUCCGGUCCUCGAGCGUAUGGGGCUUCGUCACCCGCUCUUGUAGGCCCGGCCGGCGCUUGCCGACACAUCAAUCUUUUUUCCAGGUUGACCUCGGAUCAGGUAGGGAUACCCGCUGAACUUAAGCAUAUCAAUAAGCGGAGGA
rnacentral:misc_RNA from 1 species